rnacentral:rRNA from 1 species
CCUACGGGUGGCAGCAGUGAGGAAUAUUGGUCAAUGGGCGGGAGCCUGAACCAGCCAAGUCGCGUGCGGGAAGACGGUCCUACGGAUUGUAAACCUCUUUUGCCGGGGAGCAACGGGGUCCUUGCGAGGGCCCUAUGAGAGUACCCGGAGAAAAAGCAUCGCCUAACUCCGUGCCAGCAGCCGCGGUAAUAGGGAGGAUGCGAGCGUUAUCCGGAUUUAUUGGGUUUAAGGGGUGCGUAGGCGGGCGGUUAAGUCAGCGGGAAAAUGUCGGGGCUCAACCCCGGCCUGCCGUGGAAACUGGCGGCCUUGAGUGGGCGGGAAGUAGGCGGAAUGCGUGGUGUAGCGGUGAAAUGCAUAGAUAUCACGCAGAACUCCGAUUGCGAAGGCAGCAUGCCGGCGCCCGACUGACGCUGAGGCACGAAAGCGUGGGUAUCGAACAGGAUUAGAUACCCUGGUAGUC